rnacentral:lncRNA from 1 species
UCUGCUGUAGUACUGUAGUAGUACGAUCUGCUGUAGUAGUACGAUUUGCCGUAGUACUGUAGUAGUACGAUCUGCUGUAGUAGUACGAUCUGCUGUAGUACUGUAGUAGUACGAUCUGCUGUAGUACUGUAGUAGUACGAUCUGCUGUAGUAGUACGAUCUGCUCUGUAGUACUGUAGUAGUACGAUCUGCUGUAGUAGUACGAUCUGCUCUGUAGUACUGUAGUAGUACGAUCUGCUGUAGUAGUACGAUCUGCUGUAGUAGUACGAUCUGCUGUAGUACUGUAGUAGUACGAUCUGCUGUAGUACUGUAGUAGUACGAUCUGCUGUAGUAGUACGAUCUGCUGUAGUACUGUAGUAGUACGAUCUGCUGUAGCACUGUAGUAGUACGAUCUGCUGUAGUAGUACGAUUUGCCGUUUUCUGAUCUUGACCGUAAGCAAGAGAAUAACAUACUAUUCCCCCGCUGUAGAGGGGUGUCUACAGAUCCACUGGAUUAAUGAAGGGGUGUCUACAGAUACACUGGAUUAAUGAAGGGGUGUCUACAGAUCCACUGGAUUAAUGAAGGGGUGUCUACAGAUCCACUGGAUUAAUGAAGGGGUGUCUACAGAUACACUGGAUUAAUGAAGGGGUGGAUUAAUGGAGGGGUGGAUUAAUGAAGGGGUGGAUUAAUGGAGGGGUGGAUUAAUGGAGGGGUGGAUUAAUGGAGGGGUGGAUUAAUGGAGGGGUGGAUUAAUGGAGGGGUGGAUUAAUGAAGGGGUGGAUUAAUGAAGGGGUGUCGCCAGAUACACUGGAUUAAUGGAGGGGUGGAUUAAUGAAGGGGUGGAUUAAUGGAGGGGUGGAUUAAUGGAGGGGUGGAUUAAUGGAGGGGUGGAUUAAUGAAGGGGUGGAUUAAUGGAGGGGUGGAUUAAUGGAGGGGUGGAUUCAUGAAGGGGUGGAUUAAUGAAGGGGUGUC